GUAGGGAAUCUUCCACAAUGGACGCAAGUCUGAUGGAGCAACGCCGCGUGAGUGAAGAAGGCUUUCGGGUCGUAAAACUCUGUUAUUGAAGAAGAACGUGUGUGACAGUAACUGGUCAUGCAGUGACGGUAUUCAAUCAGAAAGUCACGGCUAACUACGUGCCAGCAGCCGCGGUAAUACGUAGGUGGCAAGCGUUGUCCGGAUUUAUUGGGCGUAAAGCGAGUGCAGGCGGUCUUUUAAGUCUGAUGUGAAAGCCUUCGGCUUAACCGAAGAAGGGCAUCGGAAACUGGGAGAC
rnacentral:rRNA from 1 species